GACGAACGCUGGCGGCGUGCUUAACACAUGCAAGUCGAACGGAAAGGCCCUGCUUGCAGGGUACUCGAGUGGCGAACGGGUGAGUAACACGUGGGUGAUCUGCCCUGCACUUCGGGAUAAGCCUGGGAAACUGGGUCUAAUACCGGCUAGGAGCCAUUUUUAGUGUGAUGGUUGGAAAGUUUUUUCGGUGUAGGAUGAGCUCGCGGCCUAUCAGCUUGUUGGGGGGGUAAUGGCCUACCAAGGCGGCGACGGGUAGCCGGCCUGAGAGGGUGGACGGCCACAUUGGGACUGAGAUACGGCCCAGACUCCUACGGGAGGCAGCAGGGGGGAAUAUUGCACAAUGGGCGCAAGCCUGAUGCAGCGACGCCGCGUGGGGGAUGACGGCCUUCGGGUUGUAAACUCCUUUCGCUAGGGACGAAGCUUUUUGUGACGGUACCUAGACAAGAAGCACCGGCUAACUACGUG
rnacentral:rRNA from 1 species